GGACUUUUAUUUUGAAGUUCGGUGGUGGGGGCGGCCAUUUUAGAGGGGCAUUUUAGUCUCGCGGUAGUUUGCCAAGGAUCGUUUGGUCUCGUUGGGUCACCGGUGGGCCGCAGGCACGGUGUGUAGUACCGGUAACUGGUUUAAUGCGGAUAAUUAUAUCCUUGUUUUAUAACUCGAGUGAGUUUUUUUAGAAAAUAGACUGUUGCGAUUCUGGAUCCGAGGUGUGAAACCUCCUGAGGGGAGUGAGGAGCUUCUGGAGUGGAGGGAGACUGCGUGAGCUUGUGUAUGAGCUAACCAUAUGAGGAUUGCAGGAGGGUGAUUGCGAGGCUGCCUAGGAGAGCUUAGCGUGGGCAUUUAUUAUCAGUGAGAGCUUCACCUGGAGGGUGGGCAGGAGCUAAAGGAAUACUCUUAAUUGGGCAAAUACUGCUGUUGCACAGGAUGGCGCAUGCCUGUGAUAGUAGCCACUGUUCUACAUACUGUUUUUAGAAUGUUUUAUUAUAUAGUUUAAUUCUAGUGUUAUACUCCCUGCUGUAGUCUCAACCUUGUGGGAGACCCAGUUCUAGUCCUAACUAGAAUUUGGUUGAUAUAACCCAAAAUACCGAUUUAACCUACUGCUGAUAUUAGUGGGGUGCCUGAAUCAACCCAAGUUACUAAUUCAAUAAUGGUUAGGUUUCCUUUUUUUUUAUGGAGUAUAACCUCAGUAAGCUCUGAGUAAUUAGGAUUCACCUCAGUAUUGUAUUUGGUUUUCAAUUCUGGAUGUAUGGGUUUAAUGAGUGUGUAUAUUUAUUUUUCUAAGUUUGGGAUUUGCUUUGUGUAGGUUGUGAUUUUUUUUUUCUUUUUUUUUUUGUUAUUUUCAUCGCAGUAUAUUUAUAUGCAUGUGAGUGUAGUGUGAGGUGAUACAGCCGUACUGAGUGUGAGCCCUUGGUUGCUCGAGAUUAAAGUGGGUACAUUCCUCUUUCUUGGGGAACCACCAUUUGAUACUUGAAUAAUUUUAUUGUCUUGGAACAUUUUUUAGCUACCCUAAUAAAAUUACCUACGUUUUAUUUUAUAAUCUAAAUACUGAAUGAGUAAAAUUGUGUUUAUAGAAUUGUGUAUGGUUGUUUACCCCGUUGUGGGUUGAGAGUGUACUCUGACAUUUAAAAACAAGAAAAUAAAGAUUCCUUGUUUGCA